rnacentral:rRNA from 1 species
UACGGAGGGAGCUAGCGUUAUUCGGAAUUACUGGGCGUAAAGCGCACGUAGGCGGCUUUGUAAGUAAGAGGUGAAAGCCCAGAGCUCAACUCUGGAAUUGCCUUUUAGACUGCAUCGCUUGAAUCAUGGAGAGGUCAGUGGAAUUCCGAGUGUAGAGGUGAAAUUCGUAGAUAUUCGGAAGAACACCAGUGGCGAAGGCGGCUGACUGGACAUGUAUUGACGCUGAGGUGCGAAAGGCGUGGGGAGCGAACGGG